CCGUAGGUGAACCAGCGGAGGGAUCAUUACCGAGUUUACAACUCCCAAACCCAAUGUGAACCAUACCAAACUGUUGCCUCGGCGGGGUCACGCCCCGGGUGCGUCGCAGCCCCGGAACCAGGCGCCCGCCGGAGGGACCAACCAAACUCUUUACUGUAGUCCCCUCGCGGACGUUAUUUCUUACAGCUCUGAGCAAAAAAUUCAAAAUGAAUCAAAACUUUCAACAACGGAUCUCUUGGUUCUGGCAUCGAUGAAGAACGCAGCGAAAUGCGAUAAGUAAUGUGAAUUGCAGAAUUCAGUGAAUCAUCGAAUCUUUGAACGCACAUUGCGCCCGCCAGUAUUCUGGCGGGCAUGCCUGUCCGAGCGUCAUUUCAACCCUCGAACCCCUCCGGGGGGUCGGCGUUGGGGAUCGGGAACCCCUCAGACGGGAUCCCGGCCCCGAAAUACAGUGGCGGUCUCGCCGCAGCCUCUCCUGCGCAGUAGUUUGCACAACUCGCACCGGGAGCGCGGCGCGUCCACGUCCGUAAAACACCCAACUUUCUGAAAUGUUGACCUCGGAUCAGGUAGGAAUACCCGCUGAACUUAAGCAUAUCAAUAAGCGGAGGAAAAGAAACCAACAGGG
rnacentral:rRNA from 1 species